rnacentral:lncRNA from 1 species
AUUUGCGCUAAUGAUGCAAUUCCCAAGACGUGCAAGAGGAAAACUAUUAUAACUGUAGACCAAGAAAAAAAGUCAGUGAUGAUUGUUAUGUUGAUCUCCCACAAUUAAUUUAUCUUUUGACAAAGGGGAUAAAGAGUUUCAGUUUAGCUCCUUUUGAUUGUAUAUUAUUUUUUGCUUUUUUAUUGUGAAAAGAGGUUUUAUUUGUGGAGAGAGAAUUGAAGAUUAGAUAACCAGUGAUUUUAAUUAUGCUACUUUUUCUUCUAAGAGAUAAAUU